CCUACGGGCGGCAGCAGUGAGGAAUAUUGGUCAAUGGGCGCGAGCCUGAACCAGCCAAGUCGCGUGAAGGAUGACUGCCCUCCGGGUUGUAAACUUCUUCUAUAAAGGAAUAAAGUGAGGCACGUGUGCCUUAUUGUAUGUACUUUAUGCAUAAUGAUCGGGUAAAUACGUGCCAGGAGCCGAGGUAAUACGGAGGAUCCGAGCGUUAUCCGGAUUUAGUGGGUUUAAAGGGAGCGUAGAUGGGUUGUUAAGUCAGUUGUGAAAGUUUGCGGCCCAACCGUAAAAUUGCAAUUGAUACUGGCAGUCUUGAGUACAGUUGAGGUAGGCGGAAUUCGUGGUGUAGCGGUGAAAUGCUUAGAUAUCACGAAGAACUCCGAUGGCGAAGGCAGCUUACUAAACUGCCACUGACAUUGAUGCUCGAAAGUGUGGGUAUCAAACAGGAUUAGAUACCCUAGUAGUC
rnacentral:rRNA from 1 species